GACGAACGCUGGCGGCGUGCUUAACACAUGCAAGUCGAACGGAAAGGCCCUGCUUUUGUGGGGUGCUCGAGUGGCGAACGGGUGAGUAACACGUGAGUAACCUGCCCUUGACUUUGGGAUAACUUCAGGAAACUGGGGCUAAUACCGGAUAGGAGCUCCUGCUGCAUGGUGGGGGUUGGAAAGUUUCGGCGGUUGGGGAUGGACUCGCGGCUUAUCAGCUUGUUGGUGGGGUAGUGCUUACCAAGGCUUUGACGGGUAGCCGGCCUGAGAGGGUGACCGGCCACAUUGGGCCUGAGAUACGGCCCAGACUCCUACGGGAGGCAGCAGUGGGGAAUAUUGCACAAUGGGCGGAAGCCUGAUGCAGCAACGCCGCGUGCGGGAUGACGGCCUUCGGGUUGUAAACCGCUUUCGCCUGUGACGAAGCGUGAGUGACGGUAAUGGGUAAAGAAGCACCGGCUAACUACGUG
rnacentral:rRNA from 1 species